rnacentral:rRNA from 1 species
UACCAGCACCCCGAGUGGUCGGGACGUUUUAUUGGGCCUAAAGCAUCCGUAGCCGGUUCUACAAGUCUUCCGUUAAAUCCACCUGCUUAACAGACUGGGCUGCGGAAGAUACUAUAGAGCUAGGAGGCGGGAGAGGCAAGCGGUACUCGAUGGGUAGGGGUAAAAUCCGUUGAUCCAUUGAAGACCACCAGUGGCGAAGGCGGCUUGC